AUGAAUAAAAAUCAAAUAGUUACAACGGUGGAGAAAGUCAUUUGUUCUAAAUAUUGUAGCCACGAGAAGGACUCAUUGGAGAUAAAUCAGGGAUAUCUUUCCAUAAAUGAUAAGAAAAAUUUCAAAGGAUGCGCAAGUUGCUUGCAACAUAAGCCAAACUGCAGCUGUAGAGAUGAAUACAAGGUAAGUGACAAAGAAUUACUUCGUGAGUUGAGACGCUUGGAAAUGAUGGUGUACUGCUUGCAAAAUGAGUCCUAUAAGCAUCUGAAGCAAAUAAGAGAAAAACAAUUUGGUACAGUGAAAUCCAAUCCUAAAAAUAUGAAUCCUGGCACUCUAAAAUCCAGAAGAACAGAGAGGGAACAAGUGUUGAUAGAGGAUGCAAGUCAAUUAAAAAAUGGUUCAUGUCGAAUUUUUCGAGGUAAUCGACUAAAAGUGAAUGGGGGAGACUUAAACCAGUCAGAGCUUCUAAAUGCUGAUGUAUCAAGUAGCUUAUAUAAAGAAAAACAAGAGUUCCAAAAAAAGUAUUCGCUCAACCACAAUUCGCCUCCAAUUCACAAAAAACCAUUGACGCAAGAACUUUUAAUUCCUAUUCAGGAAAAUAAUAAUGGUGAAGUAAUAGAUAAUGUUGAAGCAGAAUAUAAAUAUCAGAAUACAAAUAUAGGUCAAAAUAAGGAAAAUAUAAAUCCUGAAUUGGUAACCUCCAAUAAAAUCAACACUCAAAAUUUGCGACCUGCUUGUAACGAGAGUAAAAGUGAAAAUGACGUGGAAAGAAUCUUACAUGGCAUCCCAUUUCAGACAGACUCGGCAGAUUUUACUCAUGAAAUUAGUGGGCAGUUCCCCAUUUAUGAACACAAAAUAUUGGAAAAUAUUCAAGCAAACGGAGCAGACAGGAGAGAACAAAUGGUACAAAUUGCUUUAAGAAAUAAAUGGAACCAAAAAAGUUUUAGAGGAAAAAGAAUCGUAGUGGCCAACGCAGUCAAAUCUUUGAAGCAAAAGAGGAGAAUGCUGAGAUCAAGGCGGAGUAGAGUGGUCUUCAACCAUUGUACGCAAAGUGAGACAAGAUCUAGACAACGCAGAACUACGGUUAAUUUGAAGGAUGAAUCACAGCAACCGAUCAGAUCAAACUGCAAUGAACAUUAUGCUGGAGGUGAAAAUUUAUCUAAGUACUCUUUAGAUGUUUUAAACGACUGCGCAACAUCA
rnacentral:lncRNA from 1 species